rnacentral:tRNA from 1 species
GUGGUUGUGGCUCAAUGGUAGAGCACUCCCCUUGCACAUAUAAGACCCUGGGUUCAAUCCUCAGCACCACA